UCCGUCAUGGUGUAGUGGCUAGCAUUUCAGACUCUCAUUCUUCAUAGAAGUUGUGCGCUCUGAGAACCCGGGUUCAAUUCCCGGUGACGGAA